rnacentral:lncRNA from 7 species
CAGCUUUUUUCUUCAGGAAGAGGAAUACCAGGAAGGGAGAUCUUUAAGAGCUACUUAGAGUAGUGCAAGGGAAUGAGAGAAUAGCACUGAAGGCAACCCAAGGUUCCUGUCCAACCUUGCAAGGAAACGGUUGGGUAAAGGAGUUCCUUCCAGGUAGCCCUUGACAGGGCUGAGACAGCAAUCUACACUGCUUAUCUCUGCUGCUGAAGCUGCUUGGUGCCAAGACAGUCAUGUGGGCUGAAGAGAAACUGCAGACAUCCAAAGAGGUUGUCAAGACUACAGCUACAGUUUACCAAGAAUCUGCUUUUGCUCCAUGGGGAGGGCUUAAACUUGGAGAUCAAAGUGUCAUGAUGAACACUUAGCUGGCAUGGAUUUCUGACAUGAAAAAUCAUCAAGUGCUAUCCUUUGCUGGACUGUGGCUCACCAUUCCUCUCAUUAGGCACAUGGCCAGGCUCCAUGGGGUAUGUGGAAGCUGCAAAGACUAACAUCUGGAUGUUUGUACAGGGGCUAAGCUGCUCAGGGGAAGAUCAGAUCAACAUGCAAGGGCAAAUAACAGGAAAAACUCACUGCAAAGAGGAGUGGCAGCUGUCAGAAAGUAGGGGUUACUGCUUGGGGCAAGCCUAUUUCUUAGAAGAAGAGUACGCUUUCCUGCAGUGAAAUAAUUAUUGUUUCUGAGAGACAGGAACCACUACAGAAUCACUUUUCAAUCUGCAAAAUCCAAGCAGUGACCACUUCAAAGCAAGAUAAAAGGAGACGUUGAUCUGCUUUAGCCUCUGACUGUUCCUAGAGUUUUCUACUUCUUGAAGACUUUCCUGGCAAAGGAAGUAUUGCUACAAGUGGAAGGAAGAAGCCUGCUGUGCUCUUCUCUGAAGAUAUGUCUUCUCCUUAAGCCUUCUAUCAGCAUGUGUCACAGUGGCAUUUUGCAAAUUUGCUGUGCAUUCCUACACACCAAAUGUUUAUUACUCAUUUUAAGAUGUUUCAUCAGAACAUGGGAAAAUAUGCUAAGGUAUCUGGCCCAGCUGUAUAUAGAAGGUGAUUCAGUCCAGUGUAACCAGUUUUAAAAAAAAUGUCCCUGCUUGUCCACCUUGGUGUGGUCUUGGAAAGCCUACGCCAGGGAUGAAACCUGCUGACAUGCUUUUGAAGCAGGUUUCAGGGCAUACAUAUGCCAUUCCUGUGUGAAGUUCAGGCUCUUCAGGUAUGUAGAAAUCAGGAUACUCUUGCAGAGGUCAAAUGAACAGAGAAGUAGAGACCAGAGAGGACCAAGGAACAAAAGGGCUGCACUGCAGCUGAAAAUUCAUCCUACUCUCUUUGGAAUUGAGCAAAUCUCUUCCAAAGUGUAUAGUGCAAAUUUCCUGUUUAUCACAGAGGAAAAGAUAUGGACUUGAGCAUGAAUCUGUGGUCCUUAACCAGACUGCACCAGCUAGGAAGACUUGGUGAUUUGUUUGCUGUUGGAGAAAGACUCUUCAAUAUUUCUCCUUGAAAUCAGGUCCUGUAGCUGUCACUGUACUGGACAUGACGAAUGAGAGUCUCAGCCACAACCUUUGCUGGAGUUACAAGGAUGGGACUUAGAACUCCCUGAUCCUGUUUCGGGCUUUGCUGCCUUGCAGUUGUCAAAGUUGAGCAAUGUCCCUAGAGUUUCUGGUCACAAGCAGGCAAAGGCAUUCCUUGGUGCAGUACUGCUGCUGCCUGUGUCAAUGUUGUUGCAAAGGCAGAUUAAUUGGAGGUCUGUGGGAACCAUCUCCAAUCCAGAUAAUUCCACUUUAGCUGGAGCUUUUUGUUUUCUCAUUUUGGAAGGGUGCUCCAAAAAAACCCCCAAAAACAUUAUACUCUUAAAAUCAUUGCAGAGUUCAAAUAGGAAUCAAAACUGGUUUGAAUUAAACUUCUUGUGUAACC